rnacentral:rRNA from 1 species
UACGUAGGGUGCGAGCGUUGUCCGGAAUUAUUGGGCGUAAAGGGCUCGUAGGCGGUCUGUCGCGUCGGGAGUGAAAACUCAGGGCUUAACCCUGAGCCUGCUUCCGAUACGGGCAGACUAGAGGCAUGCAGGGGAGAACGGAAUUCCAGGUGUAGCGGUGAAAUGCGUAGAUAUCUGGAGGAACACCGGUGGCGAAGGCGGCACCCUGGACCAACACUGACGCUGAGGAGCGAAAGCCAGGGGAGCAAACGGG